rnacentral:rRNA from 1 species
UUUACUACUUUGCCGGCGAGCGGCGGACGGGUGAGUAAUGUCUGGGAAACUGCCUGAUGGAGGGGGAUAACUACUGGAAACGGUAGCUAAUACCGCAUGACCUCGUAAGAGCAAAGUGGGGGACCUUCGGGCCUCACGCCAUCGGAUGUGCCCAGAUGGGAUUAGCUAGUAGGUGGGGUAAUGGCUCACCUAGGCGACGAUCCCUAGCUGGUCUGAGAGGAUGACCAGCCACACUGGAACUGAGACACGGUCCAGACUCCUACGGGAGGCAGCAGUGGGGAAUAUUGCACAAUGGGCGCAAGCCUGAUGCAGCCAUGCCGCGUGUGUGAAGAAGGCCUUCGGGUUGUAAAGCACUUUCAGCGAGGAGGAAGGCAGUCGUGUUAAUAGCACGAUUGAUUGACGUUACUCGCAGAAGAAGCACCGGCUAACUCCGUGCCAGCAGCCGCGGUAAUACGGAGGGUGCAAGCGUUAAUCGGAAUUACUGGGCGUAAAGCGCACGCAGGCGGUUUGUUAAGUCAGAUGUGAAAUCCCCGCGCUUAACGUGGGAACUGCAUUUGAAACUGGCAAGCUAGAGUCUUGUAGAGGGGGGUAGAAUUCC